rnacentral:rRNA from 1 species
AGCUGUACUUGUACAGCGAAGUGGUUGAUGCCAUGCUUCCAGGAAAAGUCUCUAAGCUUCAGUUACACAGGAAUCGUACCCGAAACCGACACAGGUGGUCAGGUCGAGUAGACCAAGGCGCUUGAGAGAACUCUGCUGAAGGAACUAGGCAAAAUGGUACCGUAACUUCGGGAGAAGGUACGCUGUUGUUGGUGAUGGAACUCGCUUCCUGAGCUGACGACAGCCGCAGAAACCAGGCCGCUGCAACUGUUUAUUAAAAACAUAGCACUCUGCAAACACGAAAGUGGACGUAUAGGGUGUGAUGCCUGCCCGGUGCUGGAAGGUUAAUUGAUGGGGUUAGCGUAAGCGAAGCUCUUGAUCGAAGCCCCAGUAAACGGCGGCCGUAACUAUAACGGUCCUAAGGUAGCGAAAUUCCUUGUCGGGUAAGUUCCGACCUGCACGAAUGGCAUAAUGAUGGCGGCGCUGUCUCCAGCAGAGGCUCAGUGAAAUCGAAAUCGCUGUGAAGAUGCAGUGUACCCGCGGCUAGACGGAAAGACCCCGUGAACCUUUACUGCAGCUUGACACUGAACUUUGACCUUACUUGUGUAGGAUAGGUGGGAGGCUUUGAAGCUGGAACGCUAGUUCCAGUGGAGCCGUCCUUGAAAUACCACCCUGGUAAUGUUGAGGUUCUAACUCUGUCCCGUGAUCCGGGACGAGGACCGUGUCUGGUGGGUAGUUUGACUGGGGCGGUCUCCUCCUAAAGAGUAACGGAGGAGUACGAAGGUGCGCUCAGCGUGGUCGGAAAUCACGCGUAGAGUAUAAAGGCAAAAGCGCGCUUAACUGCGAGACCCACAAGUCGAGCAGGUACGAAAGUAGGUCUUAGUGAUCCGGUGGUUCUGUAUGGAAGGGCCAUCGCUCAACGGAUAAAAGGUACUCUGGGGAUAACAGGCUGAUACCGCCCAAGAGUUCAUAUCGACGGCGGUGUUUGGCACCUCGAUGUCGGCUCAUCUCAUCCUGGGGCUGAAGCAGGUCCCAAGGGUAUGGCUGUUCGCCAUUUAAAGAGGUACGCGAGCUGGGUUUAGAACGUCGUGAGACAGUUCGGUCCCUAUCUACCGUGGGCGCUGGAAAUUUGAGAGGAUCUGCUCCUAGUACGAGAGGACCAGAGUGGACGAACCUCUGGUGUACCGGUUGUGACGCCAGUCGCAUCGCCGGGUAGCUAUGUUCGGAAGGGAUAACCGCUGAAAGCAUCUAAGCGGGAAGCCUACCUCAAGAUAAGAUUUCCCUAGGACUUUAUGUCCUCUAAAGAGCCGUUCGAGACUAGGA